rnacentral:tmRNA from 1 species
UGGGGACUUCUGUUGAUGGGCGUCCCCUGACCCCUUGUGCUGACCGCUAGUAGCUUAAGCGCUAACUAUGAUAGCACGCGCUUAAUCAUUAGCUCUAUUUGGAGCUAACGCGUUGGCGUGUGUAACUCACUGUGUCGGUUUUACAUCUUUUUCUAUUUAACGCAUAGGCUUCGGACAAGCGUGGGAGUCUUUACACCGCUGUCUACUUUCUUUGUCACACCCCCCUCCAAAAUAAAAUGUGAUCGUGUUAUGGAGGUGCCGGGAAUUGAACCCGGAUCCAGCGGAUUAUUGCAUUGCCACUUGUUUAUUGUCAUAGCUAAUUUAGC